GAUGAACGCUGGCGGCGUGCCUAAUACAUGCAAGUCGAGCGAACGGACGAGAAGCUUGCUUCUCUGAUGUUAGCGGCGGACGGGCGAGUAACACGUGGAUAACCUACCUAUAAGACUGGGAUAACUUCGGGAAACCGGAGCUAAUACCGGAUAAUAUUUUGAACCGCAUGGUUCAAAAGUGAAAGACGGUCUUGCUGUCACUUAUAGAUGGAUCCGCGCUGCAUUAGCUAGUUGGUAAGGUAACGGCUUACCAAGGCAACGAUGCAUAGCCGACCUGAGAGGGUGAUCGGCCACACUGGAACUGAGACACGGUCCAGACUCCUACGGGAGGCAGCAGUAGGGAAUCUUCCGCAAAGGGCGAAAGCCUGACGGAGCAACGCCGCGUGAGUGAUGAAGGUCUUCGGAUCGUAAAACUCUGUUAUUAGGGAAGAACAUAUGUGUAAGUAACUGUGCACAUCUUGACGGUACCUAAUCAGAAAGCCACGGCUAACUACGUG
rnacentral:rRNA from 1 species